rfam:Gossypium raimondii Chr02_contig_1361, whole genome shotgun sequence.
AAUAGGAGAAUGAUAAAUCAGAUUUUUCGCUCAUAAUUUUCAGCUUUUUCCUCCUUAAAAAAAAUUAAAUCCAAUUAAAAAUGCUAUUGGAAAGGGAUAAAUCUGAUUUGUCGUUCUCCUAUU